UGAACGUCAUGGAACGGGAGAGUAGUGAAGCGUCAGGGCAUCAAGCGAGCCGGGGAUGGUGGAAGCCGGUAUGCCGCGCCUUCAUGAAGCGCACCCGGGAGAUGGCCUUUUGAACGAUAACCGCAAGAUGGGUGCGGAGUAGAGAGGUCCGGUUAGCCGCCGUUACAGGCUUCAAGGGAAACGGAUGCUGUGCUGGCGCAUGGGCCGUUUACUUAGAGUGGUACCGCGGGAACUCAGCUCUCGUCUCUAUU
rnacentral:ncRNA from 1 species